AUUUAAAUGGGGGCAUAAAGAAGGUUGAGCAGAUGAAUUCCUAAGCAAUGAAAUCUUUAUUCAUACAACUUUUCUGAGUAAUAAAAACAGGGGGAUAGAAAUACAAGAAAAAGUGCAAUUCCAAUUCUUCUGAGACCGAUACAUCAUUUGCUGCCUUUCAUUGAAGGCUUUCAGGAAUCAUGUACUUCCCAGUGGGCAAGGAUGCAAACAACAUCUCUUGUCUCCCAUUUUGUGACUGCUGACUACAGAUCAACACAGCAAGAGUGGAACAAUUACUGACAGCCCUGAUUACCGAUCCAUUAGCUCCUUUCCUGAUCUCUGCACCAUCAAAAACAAGCCUCAACUUUCCGUCCAAUGUUUCCCAGAUGAUUGACAUCUCAGUCCCUCAGGUAUGGGUUUAAGCUGCAGUUCAAUCCAGCUGAGGUGGCAUUCGUGUUUUCUGGCAGAGGGAAGGAAGUAGAAAACUGGAGAGAAGUAGUGUCUGCAUCAUCAGUGGAGAUGUUUGCCACAGUGAUAUGCAGUCUCAGGGUCUUGAUGGGUUCAUCACUUUUCCUAGAAUCCCAUUGAUGGGAAUAGACCACAGUUCUUCUGUCAACUAUGGAUGACAAGGUAGCUGUGAAUAUUCCUCUCAAAAUGCAAACCUUGCAGCAGACACAUACAAUGGGUAAAAUAUCAUCUUUUA